UACGUAGGUGGCAAGCGUUUGUCCGGAUUUACUGGGCGUAAAGAGCGCGCAGGCGGUCGUUUAAGUCGAAUGUGAAAGCCCCCGGCUCAACUGGGGAGGGUCAUUCGAUACUGAUCGACUUGAAGGCAGGAGAGAGAAGUGGAAUUCCCGGUGUAGUGGUGAAAUGCGUAGAUAUCGGGAGGAACACCAGUGGCGAAGGCAGCUCACUGGGACGGUAUUGACGCUGAGACGCGAAAGCGUGGGGAGCAAACAGG
rnacentral:rRNA from 1 species